rnacentral:rRNA from 1 species
AAGCAAGGCAUGAAAUAGUGUGGCUCAACCAUACUGCUAUGUUUUGAACUGAUAGACUAGAGGAUGAGAGAGGUUAUUGGAAUUCCAAGUGUAGGGGUGAAAUCCGUAGAUAUUUGGAGGAACACCGAUGGCGUAGGCAGAUAACUGGCUCAUUCCUGACGCUCAGGCACGAAAGCGUGGGUAGCAAACGGGAUUAGAUACCCCGGUAGUCCACGCCGUAAACGAUGGAUGCUA